AGCGAACGCUGGCGGCAGGCCUAACACAUGCAAGUCGAACGGACCCUUCGGGGUUAGUGGCGGACGGGUGAGUAACACGUGGGAAAGUGCCUUUAGGUUCGGAAUAGCUCCUGGAAACGGGUGGUAAUGCCGAAUGUGCCCUUCGGGGGAAAGAUAUAUCGCCUUUAGAGCGGCCCGCGUCUGGUUAGCUAGUUGGUGAGGUAAAGGCUCACCAAGGCGCCGAUCAGUAGCUGGUCUGAGAGGAUGACCAGACACAUUGGGACUGAGACACGGCCCAAACUCCUACGGUGGGCAGCAGUGGGGAAUAUUGCGCAAUGGGCGAAAGCCUGACGCAGCCAUGCCGCGUGAAUGAGGAAGGUCUUAGGAUUGUAAAAUUCUUUCACCGGGGACGAUAAUGACGGUACGCGGAGAAGAAGCCCCGGCUAACUUCGUGCCAGCAGCCGCCGUAAUAC
rnacentral:rRNA from 1 species